GCAGCAUGACGAAGACUCACAGAGUCCGCUUCCAAAAUCUGAUCACCUCGGCUGCAAGUGAAAAUAAUAAAGCAGUGAACAAUAGUUAAUAACCUGUAACAUUCCCAUUGUGAAACUGUGCAGUCAUUGGUCACAAGAUUCCAAUCUAGACCGGUGUAUACGAGACAAGAAAAUCGCGGCCUGUUUUUCGUAGGGCAUUUUUACAUAUGGUGAAGGAGAUUAAAUGAGGCAAUGCCUGAAUUCUCCAUAAUGACAGUCACUACUGGAAGAUUUGAAGAGUCAGACUGGUGAUCACAUGACCAAGUUAGAGAAAUAAAAAGGACAGUGAUGCAGCUUUGCUGAAAUAAAACAAAUGGCGCUGUAGGACUAGUGAUGGCGAGCGGCCAUGAUAUGGAAAAAAAAAAAAAAGAAAUGAUCUUGCUAAUACCAGUCACAGUUAUUAAAGAUAGACCCGUU